UACGUAGGGUGCGAGCGUUAAUCGGAUUUACUGGGCGUAAAGCGUGCGUAGGCGGUCCCGCAAGUCCGAUGUGAAAUCCCCGGGCUUAACCUGGGAACUGCAUUGGUGACUGGCGGGCUAGAGUAUGGCAGAGGGGGGUAGAAUUCCACGUGUAGCAGUGAAAUGCGUAGAGAUGUGGAGGAAUACCGAUGGCGAAGGCAGCCCCCUGGGCCAAUACUGACGCUCAUGCACGAAAGCGUGGGGAGCAAACAGG
rnacentral:rRNA from 1 species